rnacentral:tRNA from 1 species
GGGGAUGAAGCUCAGGUGGUAGAGCACUCAUAUCUCAUAUUUGAGGUCCUGGGUUCGAUCCCCGGCAUCUCCA